rnacentral:lncRNA from 1 species
GCAGUUAAAAGGCACCAAGGACUUGGUGGAGACGAACGGCCACAGCCACGAGGAUGCAAAUGAAAUCAAUGUGUUGACGGUUGCGUUGGUUAACCAAGACCGAGAAAACAACACCGAAAAAAGAAGCCAAGGCUUAAAAUCUGAGAAGGAGGCCCUGCUAAUAGGCAUCAUAUCGACGUUUCUUCAUGUUCACCCCUUUGGAGCUAAUAUAGAGUAUCUGUGGUCAUACAUGCAGCAGCUGGACUCCAAGAUAUCUGCCAGUGAAAUUGAAAUGCUUCUGAUGAGACUGCCACGCAUGUUCAAGCAGGAAUUCACUGGUGUGGGAGCGACGCUGGAGAAGAGAUGGAAGUUGUGUGCCUUUGAAGGAAUUAAAACGACCUAACUGACGGCCAGGAAAGCUGGAAGCAAAACCGUCUGAAGCCAGCCAGGGCCGUACGGCCUAGGAGCCGGAGGGUUGGGGUCUGCCAGCGUGGGACCUGUGUGGAGCCACCAAAGCUUUGUUCAGUGACAUCUGUGGCGUUUUCAUGUGCGUGGAAAUGUAAUUGUGUACCAGUUCCUUAAACUAGACCAAACCUCAUACUAUGCCAGACCUGCCCCUAUGAAUACCAAGCAAUGAUUCCACAGUCAAUGACCACAAAAUCUCAAACUAGGCCUCGUUGCCGGGUAGCGCAAAUGCUUAAAGUCGGCGGCGCUGCAGCAAUGGCGGUUGCCCGGCUACGGAGUUGUAUAUGUAAUGUACAGCUGAGAACAUUAAAUGACAGACAUUCUCCUGAUGGUCUUUCUGUUUUCGUUAAUAAAACAACAAAACAACAACAACAAAAA